CUUGUACACACCGCCCGUCAAGUCAUGAAAGUCGGUAACACCCGAAGCCAGUGGCCAAACCCGCAAGGGAUGGAGCUGUCGAAGGUGGGAUCGGUGAUUAGGACUAAGUCGUAACAAGGUAGCCGUACCGGAAGGUGCGGCUGGAUCACCUCCUUUCUAAGGAGCACAGCAGUGCCGUCUGUAUACAGCGGAACACCACUGCCAAGUCAUACGAAGACGAAUGUUCUUUCGAUGGCGCUCAUGGGUGGAACAUUGACAUUGAUGCGCAGAGUUCAGUUCUGAACUAAGUACGCCAGCUGUUGUUUACAACGGUCGGUUGGAAAGGUUUGGUUCGAAUGAAACGCAUAUGCACGCUGUUGGGUCCUGAGGGACCGGAACACGAGCCGCUUUCGGGUGGGUCGUGGACUUUUCCUCUGGACCUUUUUCGGUCAGCAGUCGUACUCCUUCGGGGGUCGCAGGCCGUUAGGGGUACCGCCCGUACUUUGAGAACUACACAGUGGACGCGAGCAUCUUAAAUUUGAACCCUUCGGGGUCAAAUUACAAAGAUCUAAGCAAUUAGAUCAUUGGUCAAUUUCGAUCAUCACUUUCGAGUGGUGAUACUUAAUCGAUUCAAACUCAUGUGAUUUCAAAUUUUCAAGAGCAAACGGUGAAUGCCUUGGCAUGUAGAGCCAAGAAGGACGUAGUAAUCUGCGAUAAGCCUCGGGGAAUUGAUAAACGAACUGUGAUCCGAGGAUGUCCGAAUGGGGAAACCCCGCCAGGCCCGCAAGGUGACCUGGUGACUCCCGCCUGAAUAUAUAGGGCGGGUAGAGG
rnacentral:misc_RNA from 1 species